UCCAAGCUAAGAAAAUCCCUAUUGUUUCCUCCCUGGCUGAUCCACUUGACACCCCUCCAGAUUCUAAAGAAGGAAUAGUGGUGGAGUCAAACCAUGACUCGCACAUGGCAAAAGAACGGGCCCACAGUACAGCCUCACAUUCUUCUUCCAAUUCUGAAGAUACAGAGAUGUGAUGAAAACAAGCGGCUAUUGCAGACGGCUAAUUUAUGCUUAACUUAGGAAGAGAUAAGGUUCCUUGAGCACCAAAGAUGAUUCAUAACUCUGUAUAGGUGACAGCUGCUUAUAAAAGCAUCUUAGCAGAUAAGCCUAUUAAAAUUGUGCUUUUGUAACAAUGUUGUGGUUGCUAGAAUAAAUACCAUUAACAAAUGCC
rnacentral:lncRNA from 1 species